GGGGAGGGAGGGGAUGCAGAGAGGAGGACGCGCUCUAUCCAGGGUACACGUGUCUGCUGCGUGAUGCCCGCCUGGCUCUGCAGGCUGGCACCCGCACGGGGGUACCGAAACACCGUGGCUAAUGCCAACACACACGCACAGCUACCGCUACACACCGACACAUCUACACUGCUGAUGGUUGACCAUCGCGGGGGGCCUCGAGGGGUCCCCAGGGACUGGGCUGGGGGACAUGAAGCAUCCCUGCAAAGGGCCCAGGGACACACCUCUCCCUGCGCUGCAGUGCCGAUCCCCACGGCUGAGCCAGGGCCACCAGCAGCUCCAGCAGCAGGGCCAGGCACCUACUCCGAGGCACCCCCAGGGGAUGCCAGGACAAGGGAGGGGGAUGUCCUUCCCUUGGCUACGGCUCAGUCCAGCCUGACAGCAAGGGGCAGGCACGGGGUAGCCUGUGACUGGGGGAACCGGCAGCCCCAAAACAGGGAGGCAGAGCCUCAAGCAGCGGGUGCUCUGCUGCUGCCAGCACCCCACUGGCAGGGAAGGAUCAGAGGGGCCACAAAUCCAGAGUCCCUGGGGAGUGGGGGUCAUGGGGGACUGCAGGGGCUGCUUCAAGCAGCGGUUGCUGCCGAGCCCAGUACAGCUCUUGCAGACGCUGCCAGCCCAGGCCAUGACCACAUCCCCAGGGAUGUGUGGGGUCCCCACCCAGCACAGCUGUACCAGAGCGCAGCCCCUGCCCCCCCAAGCAGAGCCUGCGGCAGCUGCCGAGCCAGCAUUGCAGCCACGUGCUCCUGGCAGUGGGAGGAGGCGGCUGUCGCAGGAAGGAGCCAUUAGGAAAAGCAAAGAAAAUCCCAGCUGGAGGAGCCGCUGCAGCAGCAUCUUCCCUGCCAGCGCGUCCCUGCUCUUGGCAAAGCCGGCAGCGGAGCCCAGUGUGGUGCUGUGUGGAGGAGCCCUGUGCCAGAGCAUCACCCACACCCCACACGCCCACCAGCACUGGCUGCAGCUGCUCUUGGAGCAGUUUGGGUGGUUGUUUAAGAUAGAUUUGCCACAGCUGUCCUUCGCUGCCAGCCCUGCCUUUCCAUGCUGCUCCCUGCCAUCCCGGCAGCAGCACACGCCACGGCCGGGCACAGUGACACCCAGCUCCACUGGCCAAGGUCAGCCAGCCCUCAGCAGGUCCUGCACAGGCACAGGCCCCAAGGUUAAAAUGAGGGCUGGCUACUUAGUGAAGGGCUGGUCCCCAUACAAUGUUGGGGUGACUCCGGACAGGGGCUCCCUCCGUGGCACAGCUUUCCCUGCACAACUGCCUGGCGAGAGAAACAACCCAGCCUCCGCGCCCACGUGCUUACCACGUGUGUGCAACUCCGCUCUUCCCAAAGCCAGUGGCGGGGAACACGCGCCACGGGGAAGGAGACGCUGCUGUGGGACACUGAACCCCCGAGCCAGGCACCCCUCACUAAACAGGGAGUUGGGAAGGGACAGUCUGGCAUGGCUCGGCAUCCCUCCCCAAGGGCUGCGAAGAGGAAGAGGAGAAAAUUGAAGCCAUGCGUUCAAUGCAGUCAAAAACCAAACGGAAUCAGCCAUUCUCCGAGGGAUGGGGAAGGUGGGGUGGGCACCGAGAGCUGGGGUGGCAUGGAUGCUCCUGCUUCCUGGAGAGUGGGAGGGCACGCGGCGCUGGCACAGAUGGGAGCGGCCGGGAGCAGCCAUGGCUGUCAGUGCCGGGGCCAUGGGGGAAAGCAGCCGGGUGUGACAAUGAAAACCCGAUGAGAUGCAUUUCACGG
ensembl:lncRNA